rnacentral:tRNA from 1 species
AGAGAGGUGCCCGAGUGGUUGAAGGGGCUCGCCUGGAAAGCGGGUAUACGGGAAACUGUAUCGAGGGUUCGAAUCCCUUCCUCUCUG